rnacentral:rRNA from 1 species
UACGUAGGGGGCAAGCGUUGUCCGGAAUCAUUGGGCGUAAAGCGCGUGUAGGCGGCCCGAUAAGUCGGCUGUGAAAGUCCAGGGCUCAACCCUGGGAUGCCGGUGGAUACUGUCGGGCUCGAGUCCGGAAGAGGCGAGUGGAAUUCCUGGUGUAGCGGUGAAAUGCGCAGAUAUCAGGAGGAACACCGGUGGCGAAGGCGGGUCUCUGGGCCGAUACUGACGCUGAGGAGCGAAAGCGUGGGGAGCGAACAGG